rnacentral:tRNA from 1 species
GAGGGUAUAGCUCAGUGGUAGAGCGCAUGCUUACUGUGCAUGAGGUCCUGGGUUCAAUCCCCAGUAUCUCCA